rnacentral:rRNA from 1 species
GUAAAGCUCGUAGUUGGAUUCUGCGAGGCAACCGGUGAAUUUACGUCGCAUUCGGUUCGGUCUCGGCAUCCUCGCGGGGAACGUUUCUGGACUUUAUUGGACAGGGCGAGAUUCACGACUUUUACUUUGAGGAAAUUAGAGUGUUCACGGCAGGCAAGUGCUUUGAAUACAUUAGCAUGGAAUAAUAAUAUAGGACCUUUGUUCUAUUUUGUUGGUUUCUAGAACUUAGGUAAUGAUUAAUAGGGACAAUUGGGG